ensembl:lncRNA
CGCGUGCCCCUGGACGCCCCUGCGUGUCUCUUUCUCCGUGGGUCCUCUUCAGGUCCCCAACUGAGUCUCAUCGGACCGGGCUGACUCUCUACCCUUCGAGUUUGUCUUUGGCUUGCCGAUGUUUCAGGACAUCUGAGAUUUGUGAUUGCCGGCGUGUUUCUUUACCUUUCUCUUCCUUGGUGUUUGCUAUAAAAUAAAGGGUGUCUCUUGCUCAAGUUCCUCUGUCCCUGUCUCUAUGUUUCUCUAUCUCUCUCUCCCUGUCCCCCCCCCCCUCCAUUGUUCCUCCCUUCCCUCGCUGGGUGCACUUGAAACAUUCUUAUGUCUUUCUGUAGAUAACCUGUUUGUGUCCAUGUUCCUGGGUUCAUUUUAAGAUCUUAUGUUCCAGUUUGUAUGAUCUUUCUCUGUUUUUUGCAGAGAGAGAGAGAGAGAGAGAGAGAGAGAGAGAGAGAGAGAGAGAGAGAGAGAGAGAGAACUUAAGAAUGAACACUGAACACACACACACAAACACACACACAGACACACACAGACACACACACACAUCCUUUACCUAGAGACAGGAACUUUGGAUACUCUAUCCAUCCAUAGGCUCCCUCCCCAAAUCCGUUCCUUGCUCCGGGAGGUACCAUAGUUUUAUGUGUGUUCAGGAGAAUUAACAAGCUAUUUGGCUGUUUUUCUUUCAGGAAUGCUGAAUACUGAUCCCUGUGCCCACGGCUGCUGCACUGACCCUGGCAGAAGAGGCUAAGCAGUUGUUUGGAAGGCCCUGUAGAAUAAAACAUGGCUGAGGGGGAAUGGCCUCCUCUCUGAUAGUCCUGAAGCAAUGCAGUGUUCAAAAAAAUGCCCUAGUUCCGUCAUGCUCUUUUGAAGGAUUAAACUUUAAAGAGUUUAGCUAGCUUAGACACACUCUCAAUUAUGCUGAAGUAUACAGGAAAUAAUAAGAAAUGCCAAGAGUAGGAUUCGGCCAUAUAAGGGCAGGCCAGCAUGCUUCCCAAACCCAGCAAAGGCAUAAGAACAAGGAGUGAAGCGAAUCAGAAACUUACAGCUGGUCAAAUAGUUCCUUCUAAACUGGGGGAGAGAACUUAAGGAAUCAGAAAGUCCAAUGUGGACAGGGAGCUAGCUGGGCUUACACAUUGCUGCCCCGUGGCUUUCCUCAGUGAAAGCUCACUUUCUCUGUUUUUCUCUUCAUCUGGCUCUCACAGCCUGACCUCCUCGUGUGUGCUGAUUCUGAGCUGGCAGCAUUGUUGCUCUCUAAGUCUCUAACCUCUUUUCUCUGAGCUCCAGCUCCUGUCACUAUUAAGCAGGGGAAUGUUGGCCCUGUGUUCCCACAGGUAGUAAGGUUGAACUGAUUCCUGAGACAGUUUGCUUCUCCUUGACCCUGCUCCUAUCUUCGGGUACUCGUGAAUAGAAGACUAGUCUAGCUAUUCUCACCUUUCAGAGACCAAGACUCACUGUUUAUCAUUUUCUUUUACAUUACUUGGUGCCUGGACUUUGGAGUUAGGGUUGUCACUCUGUAGUGAAAUGAAGAGACUUUAUUUGGGCUCAUAUGUCCUCUAAAACUCUUAGCUAUGAGAGAGAAUGAACGGUGGGAAGAGGAUGGGAUAUAAGUUCAGACAGAUGUAGACUUGAAUCCUUGAAUUUUCCCUGUCACUUAUUUAACAUGAUGAUGUAGGGAUGUUAAAUCUCGGGUGCUUUACUUCAGUGUUCCUAUGAGAUCUUUCCUGCUGUCACUAAUAUGGUACUUCACUGGUUGCUGAGGUGACUCAAGAAGGGAUAAAGGGAAAUCACUUAUGCUAUGUGGGAAGAUUGUUGUAUUAGUCAGGGUUCUCUAGAGUUACAGAACUUGUAGAAUGUCUCUAUAUAUUAAGGGAAUUUAUUGUGAUGUCCUACAGUCUGUAGUCUAACUAAUGUACAGCUGUGGAUGGGACGUCCAAGAAUCUACUAGUUACUCAGUCACACGAGGCUAGGUAUUUGAGUUGCUCUGUUUUAAAAAAAUUUUAUUUAUUUUAUGUAUAUUGUACAUUGUAGCUGUCUUCAGAUGGUUGUGAGCCACCAUGUGGUUGCUGGGAAUUGAGCUCAGGACCUGUGGAAGAGUAGCCAGUGCUCUUAACCAUUGAGCCAUCUCUCCAGCCCUGAGUUGGUCUGCUGUAGAAGUAGAUUCCAACAGAUGUGCUGGCAGGUAAGUGCAAUCAGUCCAAGAAGUGUGAAUCUUCCUUCUUCCAGUGUUCUUAGGUAGGCCUCCAGCAGAAGGUGGGGCCCAGAUUAAGGUGUGUACCAACAUGCCUGGACCUGGGACUUGCUUUGUCCCCAGCUGACCUUGAACUCAGAUGUCUCCUUGCCUCAGUCUCCUGGGAGUAAAGGAGUGUACUACUUUAUCUGGGCCUAAACUUUUCUUCGUGGCAACUAUACCUCAAGGUCUUCAUGUCAGGAUCCAGAUCUGAAACGUGUGUCUUCCAGCCUCGAGAUCUGCAUCACAAGUGCAUCUUCCAAUUCUGGGUUGUGAUUCAUUCCAGAUAUAGUUAAAUUGAGAACCAGGAAUGGCCACCACAGUGCUAGAUAUGGGUAAUUUUCCUUUCCUAAGAGGGCCUGGCUGUUAUGCAUGUGAAAUGAAUUUAUAAUAACAAGAAGAAAAUAGGUUCAGACUAAAGUUAUUUUUAAAUAAGAGCUGUAUUUGGUGCAGAAGAAUAAACACAGGCUUCGGAGCUUGAGGUCACUUCAAUCAGAAAGUGCUUCUGAAAUCCAGCUAGGAGUGAGCAGAGGAACAAGAAACUUCCCUGUGUAGUUCUGAAUAUUAAAACUAAAUUGUUUUGCAGGAAGAGUGCACUAGUCUUAACUAUGCAGGUGCCACUGUCUUGAAGACAUUUGCCUGGUGGCAUAGUUCCUGUUCCCCCUUGGGCAACUCUGAUUCCUGCCAAUCCUAUGCUGGUUCUUUAAAUAUUGCUCAGACCUUCUUGCCUCUGCUUUGUACCUGUUUUUGUGUCAGACCUUUAAACAUUUUGGACUUGAGUUUGAGUGCAUUUCUUAACUUAGGUGACUGUGUUUGUCAUCUCUGUGUUUUAAACCCACCCUGACUUGGCCACUAUGGUUCUUAGUUGUUCUGUCAACCGUUUGAUUAACAUAUCCGUUUCUACAUUUUGGUUUCCACUUACUUGUUUUCUCAUCCUCCCCACACUGGCACUUAUUCAACAUAGUGCUACCCAAGGCAUUUGUACUAAUAAACACCUUCAUUUUCCCAUCAUCCUCUGCUCCAUUUGUGUUCAUAGACAUCAGGUUUACAGAGACAGGCCGAUUUCCGAGGAGAUUCCCACCACAUCAAAGUAACAGACUAAGUGUGGCCCAUGUGCUGCAAGGAUUGUAAUGGGUGCAUAAAGGAAAGCAGCCUUCACUGUUGGGGAGCAGAGGUGACCUAGUGGGAUAUGUGACCAUAGUUGUUAUAGAAAGUGAUUCUUUUGUUUGUAGAAGGAGAUACAGUAAAGGCAAAAGGACAUUGGAAAUAGGAUACAUAACCAGAGGAGCCUGAGUAUCGUCUCAUCAGGGAAGUACACCAGGCAGGUUUAGCUAGAGGAGGAGCUGUGAAAUAACAGAGAAUGUUUGGGAAUGGUGGUCAGGCAACCAUAUCAAGGAAGGCCUUGUGGCCAUGCAUUCUACUGAGUUCAGAUUCUCUUCUUUGGAGACGGGCCUCUGGAAGACUGUGAACAAGACCACGAUGUGACUAGAGUGGAAGUGAAGAAAAAGCCACUCUCCUUGGAAUAUGGAGAAUAGGUUGAAGAACAGCUGUCUUCAAGACAAGAGGACAACGAUGCUGGCAAGAAUGUGGGAAAUGUGGAAGCCCCUCAUAUAUUGUCAAUAUAGCUGCUGCAGAUAUCAGCAUGGACACUUUUGUAAGACUAAAAGUGAAACCACUAUAUGGCCCAACUGUACUUCCAGGCAACACCAGCAGGACUGAAAGGCAAUAUACCACAGAGAAAUUUACAUAACCAUGCUUUCUGCUGCGCUAGUCACAAUUGCUAAAAAAUAGAGCUCUCCUAGAUGUCCAUCAAGAAAUCAAUGGACAGGAGCUGGAGAGAUGGCUCUGUUUAAGAGCACUGGAUGCUCUUCCAGAGAGCCUAGGUUAAAAUCUGGAAUUGAAGUUCCAGGGCAUCUGGACUCCACAUGCUCAAGGCAUACAUGUGUUCCUUGAACAUACGUGCAGGCAAAACAUAUAUACAUAUGAAAUAAACAAAGAGUAAAUAAAAAAGAAUGAAUGUAUAGCAAAUUUUAAAAAGCGUACAUAUACACACCAGAACUUUAUUCAGUUAUGGAGGAAAAUGAAAUGGUGUCAUUUGCAGGAAAAUAGAUGGAACUGAAGAUCAUAUUAAGCAAGAUAAGCCAGACUUAGAAAGACAAAUGCUACAUGUUUUCUCUUGCGUUCAGAAUCCAGAUUUAAAUGUGUGUGUUGGGGACUAGAGGGACCAUGGCAGGGGAGGAAGUGAAGAAAGGGCAAAAGGAGAAACCCUUGGUCCUGCCAAGGCUCAACCCUCAGUGUGGGG